rnacentral:rRNA from 1 species
GUGUCAGCAGCCGCGGUAAAACGUAGGAGGCGAGCGUUAUCCGGAUUUACUGGGCGUAAAGCGCGUGCAGGCGGUCCGGUAAGUCGGACGUGAAAGCUCCUGGCUCAACUGGGAGAGGCCGUUCGAGACUGCCGGACUAGAGGGCGGUAGAGGGAGGUGGAAUUCCGGGUGUAGCGGUGAAAUGCGUAGAUAUCCGGAGGAACACCAGUGGCGAAGGCGGCCUCCUGGACCGUCCCUGACGCGCAGACGCGAAAGCUAGGGGAGCGAACGGGAUUAGAAACCCCGGUAGUCCUAGCCGUAAACGAUGCGGACUUGGUGUUGGGGGCUUCAACGCCCUCAGUGCCGAAGCUAACGCGUUAAGUCCGCCGCCUGGGGACUACGGCCGCAAGGCUAAAACUCAAAUGAAUUGGCGGGG